rnacentral:misc_RNA from 1 species
UGGGCUAGAAUGCCUCUGACAACCCUGGAGACAGGGCCUUCUGGGUAACACCAGACAGCCAUGCACCACCUGUGUAGGGCCCAAAAGGACACCGCAUCUCUACGGCUUUUCCCUACAUGUCAAGCCUGGGUAAGGUUCUGCGUGUUGCGUCGAAUUAAACCACACGCUCCGCUGCUUGUGCGGGCCCCCGUCAAUUCCUUUGAGUUUUAGCCUUGCGGCCGUAGUCCCCAGGCGGUGAACUCAUCGCGUAAGCUGGGGCGCCGAGGGGCGCAAUCACCCCCCAGCACCGGGUUCACAUCGUUUACGGCGUGGACUAC